AUACCCUCAAAACUCAUCCUCCAAUCUAUUGUCUACUAAUUCCCAAAAUCUUUUGCAACCAAUUACAUCUCUAUCUGUUUCUCUGAUCUUUCUUUCUUGUUUUUGUUUUUUGUUUUUCUUGUUUUGGGUUUGUGUUGCAGAGAUGAAUGAUCCAAAGUAUGCUUAUCCUUACCCUGCUCAAGGUUAUUAUCAAGGGCCCCCAGUGAUGGCACCACCUCAGUAUACUGCUCCACCACCACAAAGGAGCCAACCUGGUUUCCUUGAAGGAUGCCUUGCAGCAUUGUGUUGCUGUUGCCUCAUAGACGAGUGUUGCUGUGACCCCUCCAUAUUCUGUGUUUUCUAGGUUUCUAGGUGGUCCCCUGUUGUGGGUUUUAUUUUAUUUAUUUUAAUUAUUGUUAAAUAUUAUAAUUUUUUUUUUUGUUUUUGUUUUUGUCUUCUUGGUGGUUGUGAUGCUCAAAAUAAUUUAGUGGUUAUCAUUACAAAUUAGUUAUGGAAUUUAUUCUCUUUUUCGAACCUUCUUGGUUGUCA